GCGAAGUGCGGAGACGGGGUUUUGGAGACGGUGGAUGGAGGAGGGGGAGGGAAAGCUGCCAACUUUGGAUACCAACCCCGUACACCCACCGAAGGGGAUGUCCCACUUUUUCCAGCGCUGGGAGCAAAAAGAUAACAGUGAGCGAGGUUGAAAAGACUUCAGCCCUAGGGGCAUUGCCAGAGCGUUUCAAAGAGGUUGCUACCGGUACUACAACAAGUACAUCAACGUGAAGAAGGGGAGCAUCUCUGGGUUUACCAUGGUGCUGGCAGGCUAGAUGCUCUUCAGCUACUGACUUUCCUACAAGGAGCUCAAGCACCAGCAGCUACUCAAGUAUCACUGAAGAAGAAGGCACACUCCGCACUCCCCCACACGACCUUCUUGGCCCGAGCCCCUCCAUAAGGGAGACAGUCUCGAUAGUUGCUGAAUCCUUUCAUAUUCUAAUGGGAAUUAACCUCCAAG
rnacentral:lncRNA from 1 species